rnacentral:rRNA from 1 species
UAGGGAAUCUUCGGCAAUGGGGGGAACCCUGACCGAGCAACGCCGCGUGAGUGAAGAAGGUUUUCGGAUCGUAAAGCUCUGUUGUUAAGGAAGAACGAGUGUGAGAAUGGAAAGUUCAUGCUGUGACGGUACUUAACCAGAAAGGAACGGCUAACUACGUGCCAGCAGCCGCGGUAAUACGUAGGUCCCGAGCGUUGUCCGGAUUUAUUGGGCGUAAAGCGAGCGCAGGCGGUUAGAUAAGUCUGAAGUUAAAGGCAGUGGCUCAACCAUUGUAGGCUUUGGAAACUGUUUAACUUGAGUGCAGAAGGGGAGAGUGGAAUUCCAUGUGUAGCGGUGAAAUGCGUAGAUAUAUGGAGGAACACCGGUGGCGAAAGCGGCUCUCUGGUCUGUAACUGACGCUGAGGCUCGAAAGCGUGGGGAGCGAACAGG